ACGCGAGGAACCUUACCAAGACUUAAAUGGGAACUGAUCGGCUUAGAAAUAGGCUUUCCUUCGGGCAGUUUUCAAGGUGCUGCAUGGUUGUCGUCAGCUCGUGCCGUGAGGUGUUAGGUUAAGUCCUGCAACGAGCGCAACCCCCUGUCACUAGUUGCUAACAUUAAGUUGAGGACUCUAGUGAGACUGCCUACGCAAGUAGAGAGGAAGGUGGGGAUGACGUCAAAUCAUCACGGCCCUUACGUCUUGG
rnacentral:rRNA from 1 species